UUAGUAAUCUAACUCAAGAUGAACUUAGCUCUGUGGGAUAUUGACACCUGACACAGUCAGUAAACAAAAAUGCAGGUGCCUUGGUUUUGAACUGAAUUCUAUCCUGUUUUUACUUCACUGUCUUGGAAUUCUUUGUUUUUGUUUUCUUUAUUGAUGUUUUUCUUUUUCUUCUUCUUUCUCUUUUUUUUUUUUUCUUUUUUUUUAAUGUU